rnacentral:rRNA from 1 species
UGGGGAAUAUUGGACAAUGGGCGCAAGCCUGAUCCAGCCAUUCCGCGUGCAGGACGAAGGCCUUCGGGUUGUAAACUGCUUUUGUACGGAAUGAAAAGCCCUUCUCUAAUACAGAGGGGUCAUGACGGUACCGUAAGAAUAAGCACCGGCUAACUACGUGCCAGCAGCCGCGGUAAUACGUAGGGUGCAAGCGUUAAUCGGAAUUACUGGGCGUAAAGCGUGCGCAGGCGGUUGUGUAAGACAGAUGUGAAAUCCCCGGGCUCAACCUGGGAACUGCAUUUGUGACUGCACAGCUGGAGUGCGGCAGAGGGGGUUGGAAUUCCGCGUGUAGCAGUGAAAUGCGUAGAUAUGCGGAGGAACACCGAUGGCGAAGGCAAUCCCCUGGACCUGUACUGACGCUCAUGCACGAAAGCGUGGGGAGCAAACA